rnacentral:rRNA from 1 species
AGAGUUUGAUCAUGGCUCAGGAUGAACGCUAGCUACAGGCUUAACACAUGCAAGUCGAGGGGAAACGAUAUUGGAAGCUUGCUUCCGAUAGGCGUCGACCGGCGCACGGGCGAGUAACGCGUAUCCAACCUGCCCCACCACUUGGGGGAUAACCUUGCGAAAGUAAGACUAAUACCCAAUGAUAUCUCUAGAAGACAUCUGAAAGAGAUUAAAAGAUUUAUCGGUGAUGGAUGGGGAUGCGUCUGAUUAGCUUGUUGGCGGGGUAACGGCCCACCAGGCGACGAUCAGUAGGGGUUCUGAGAGGAAGGUCCCCCACAUUGGAACUGAGACACGGUCCAAACUCCUACGGGAGGCA